rnacentral:tRNA from 1 species
GCCGGGGUGCCCGAGCGGACUAAGGGGCUGGCCUGGAGCCACAGUCAGUUAGCCAGUGUGGGCAACCACGCGCGGGUUCAAAUCCCGCCCCCGGCG